GCGUUGUUGACAGGAAGUAAGGUGUUAGAGUAAUGCCGGGAAAGGAGGGAGACACAUUGGAGUUGAUGUGUGUUUGAAUUGCAACUUGUACAAUAAAGACAAGACAAACAAAGAAGUGCGAGCCUUUCAGUCAUCAAUAUGGGAUUAUUGACACAAUCUUUGUAACAGCAAUUUUUGAGGUGGAACCAUGCAGCCACUUAAGCACGAUCCGCCUGUUUCGCUUCCGUGGAUCGACCCUCGCGUAACCAUGGAUACGGUGGACUUUUCUGGGAGCAGUGCACCAAAAAAAAGAAAGAAAGGAAAUCCCAGUCGAAGGAACGGAAUUUGUUUGUAACCCAGAGACCACCUGUACCAGCAUCAUAGGAACUCAGCAUGUAACUAUUUCUUUCAAGUAAUCCGAUUACACAUGUUGAGUGUCAUACUCUCUAAAAAAAAUACAAAUAAAAAUUUACAUUUUACAGUAAAAAUGAAUGCAGCACAGUUGCCAGAGUUUGAAUGUACAGUGUUUUAUUAUUAUUAUUAUUAUUAUUUUUUUUUACAGUGAAUUACUGUAAAUUGAAAAACAACACCACUCUUAUUUUUACGGUAAAAUUCUGGCGACUAAUCCGGCAGAUGUUUUUUUUGUUUGUUUGUUUUUUAUUGUAAAAUGUACCAAUGUUUUUUUUACCGUAAUGUCUACCAAAAUCAAAUAUUUUACUAGAAAAUUUUAAGUGUUUUUUUUAUUUUUACAACAGCAUUACUGUAAAUUGAAAAACAGUACCACUCUUAUUUUUACGGUAAAAUUCUGGCGACUAAUUGGCAGAUUUUUUUUUUUUACCGUAAUAUGUACGGACGUUCUUUUUACAGUGUAUUACUGUAAAUGUAAAAUGUAUCAGUUAUUUUUACUGUAAAAUUCUGGCAACUAAUCUGUCAGAUAGUUAUGUUUAUUUAAAUUUUUCAUAAAAUGUACGGACGUUCUUUAUACAGUGCAUUACUGUAAAUGUAAAAACUAUAACGGUUAUUUUCACUGUAAAAUUCUGGCGACUGAGCUGACAAUAUUUUAACCCUAAUACCUACCAAAAUCAAAAGUUUUACUCGAAAAUUUACAGUGUUUUUUUUUUUUUUACAACAAAAUUAUUGUAAAUCGAAAAACAGUACCAUUUUUAUUUUUAGGGUAAAAUUCUGGCGACUAAUCUGGCAGAUGUUUUUUUUUGUUUUACGGUAAAAUGUACGAAUGUUCUUUUUACAGUGUAUUACCGUAAAUGUAAAAACUAUCAGUUAUUUUUACCGUACAAUUUUGUCGACUGAGCUGACAGUAUU